CUGCUGCGGGGAGAUGUAGUGCACGUGGCUGUCGAACGCCCCAGCGGUGGCGAUGCAGUGCUCGCCCGCCAGGAUCUCGGUGGUCGCACCCACCACGAGACGCGGGUCGACCCCGCUCUGCAGAUGGGGGUUGCCCGACUUGCCGAUGCCGGCGAUCUUGCCGUCCUUGACGCCGAUGUCCCCCUUCACGACGCCGAGGAUCGGGUCCAGGAUGAUGGCGUUGGUGAUCACGAGGUCGAGUGCGCCCUGCGCGCUGGUGGCCUCCGGGUCGGCCGCCAUGCCGUCGCG
rnacentral:sRNA from 1 species